rnacentral:rRNA from 1 species
UCGUCACACUAUCAUUAACUGAAUCCAUAGGUUAAUGAGGCGAACCGGGGGAACUGAAACAUCUAAGUACCCCGAGGAAAAGAAAUCAACCGAGAUUCCCCCAGUAGCGGCGAGCGAACGGGGAGGAGCCCAGAGCCUGAAUCAGCAUGUGUGUUAGUGGAAGCGUCUGGAAAGGCGCGCGAUACAGGGUGACAGCCCCGUACACAAAAGCGCAUGUGCUGUGAGCUCGAUGAGUAGGGCGGGACACGUGGUAUCCUGUCUGAAUAUGGGGGGACCAUCCUCCAAGGCUAAAUACUCCUGACUGACCGAUAGUGAACCAGUACCGUGAGGGAAAGGCGAAAAGAACCCCGGCGAGGGGAGUGAAAAAGAACCUGAAACCGUGUACGUACAAGCAGUGGGAGCACCCUUUGGGUGUGACUGCGUACCUUUUGUAUAAUGGGUCAGCGACUUAUAUUCUGUAGCAAGGUUAACCGAAUAGGGGAGCCGGAGGGA